rnacentral:tRNA from 1 species
GGUUGGGUUAGCUCAGUGGUUAUAGCUUAGGUCUUGUGAUCGGAAGGUUCCGGGUUCGAAUACCGCCAGAGGCA